rnacentral:rRNA from 1 species
GCUUGUCUCAAAGAUUAAGCCAUGCAUGUCUAAGUAUAAACUGCUUAUACUGUGAAACUGCGAAUGGCUCAUUAAAUCAGUUAUAGUUUAUUUGAUGGUACCUACUACUCGGAUAACCGUAGUAAUUCUAGAGCUAAUACGUGCGCACAACCCGACUUCUGGAAGGGUCGUAUUUAUUAGAUAAAAACCAAACGGCUUCGGCCGUCUCAUUGGUGACUCUGAAUAACUUUGGGCUGAUCGUAUGGCCUUGUGCCGACGACGUUUCCUUCGAAGGUGUGCCCUAUCAACUGUCGACUGUGAUAUAGACGCUCACAGUGGUUUUGACGGGUAACGGGGAAUCAGGGUUCGAUUCCGGAGAGGGAGCCUUAAAAACGGCUACCACAUCCAAGGAAGGCAGCAGG